rnacentral:rRNA from 1 species
UACGACGGGGGCUAGCGUUGUUCGGAAUUAUUGGGCGUAAAGGGCGCGUAGGCGGUGCGGUAAGUCACCUGUGAAAUCUCCUGGCUCAACUGGGAGCUUGCAGGCGAAACUGCCGUGCUGGAGUGUGGGAGAGGUGCGUGGAAUUCCUGGUGUAGCGGUGAAAUGCGUAGAUAUCAGGAGGAACACCUGUGGCGAAAGCGGCGCACUGGACCACAACUGACGCUGAGGCGCGAAAGCUAGGGGAGCAAACAGG